CUUCAGCAGCCCAAACCAGCUCCAUUAUUGUUUUGUAAUGAGAUGAUCUUUUUCCAGCUGUAACAAUUUGCACAGAUCUCAGAGUCGCACUUCCUGCACAGAUCUGCAGAACACAACACUGAGAGCGUCUCCAAAAUGCUUGCCACAUGCAUAAACCAUAUGGCACAAUUCGAUAAUUGUGUUACACAGCAGGAGCCUUGUAAAUUUUCAAAGACCAAGAACUAAGGGAGGGAAUAACUUAAACAUUGCAAACUCUUUAAUAGUUGUUUCAACUGAAAGAAUUUCGAAACAUGAAGUAAUUUCAAUUCAGCAUGGUAGAAGAAAAGGUAAUUGAAGGAAAAUUCAACAUUCCCAACAGUGCUGGUCUGUGCUGCUCUAUCAAGAUGUUCCCAUCAUAACUGACCUUUAAAUGAUAACAGUGUGUUGUGGGUUGACCCCAGCCAACAUCUGAACACUCCCACGGUUGCUCACUCAUUCCCAUCUUCUGCAAGACAGGGAAAAACAGAAAGACAAGGAGACUUGUGGGUGAAGAUAAAGUAAGUUUAAUAAGUUGUCCUGGUUUUGGCUGGGUUAGAAUUAGUUUUCUUCCUAGUAGCUGGUACAGUACUGUGGUUUGGGUUUAUUGUGAGAAUAAUGUUGAUAACACAUGGAUGUUUUAGUUGUUGCUGAGCAGUCAAGCACUUUUCAGCUUCUUACAUCACACCAGGGGCACAAGAAGAUGGGAUGGGGGCCAGCAAGGACAGCUGACCCAAACUGGCUAAAGGGAUAUUCAAUGUCAUAUUGUGAGAGUCAGUCCGAAGAUGGAGCAGUAUUUGCCUGAACAUCGCCAUCAAGAACUUAGAGAACUGAAGCUGAGACCGAAAGAACAGAUGGACAAUGACUUGGAGAGAGGCCCAAGGAGAAGCAUUGUGGCACUGUUUCUCCGAUAUGGGGGGCUCCUGCUAACAAUGGCUGUUGUGUGGACUUUGCCUGCUGCUUCAGCCAAACCAGCUCCCACCUCCUGAAAGCUAUUGUUGUGAGGGUCUCUUUGACCCAGGAACAAUAGCUGCCAUCCAGAAGAAUGUGUUCUUAUCUGCAGCCUCAGUUACACAUGUUCCUCACCUGCUCCCUCAAACAAUGGCCAACGAAAAGGAGCAUGCCCAGAGCUCACCAAGGGUCCUGAGGUCAGCCAAUGGACCAGAGAAAGACCCCUGAAUGCUGGACAUGUAAGCAUUGGCAAAAGAAAGCGUGAAUCUUUCGAGCCUGCACAGUACGCGCCUGGGUUGCGAAGUCUAGGCGGAGACUGGCCUAAAACAAUGGGAGCAAGGGGGGGUGAAGAAGCAUAAAAGAUGAGACCAGAAUGGACACCAUUGAAGAUCUUCCCACCAGAGGAUCCCGAACCACGACGGAGGACCAGCCAGACUCCAUGGGACACAGAGAGCAGAGGGAAGUUUCUGGAACUGGACUGGUGAUAAACGCAACCUCAUUUCUCAUCUUUUCCUUUACUUUUCCCCGUUUCUUUCCCCUUUUUCUUACUCUCUCUCUCUAUCGUGUCCCGCUUUAUGAGCAAAUUAAUAAAGUAA